GGCGGACGUGGCCAARUGGAUUAAGGAAGUAA
rnacentral:tRNA from 1 species